CCACUUAAAGUGAGAGUUAGAUGAAACUGAACCAACCUCCAGUCGACCGCCUGUUGAUUGAUUCAGGGUUCAGUUUCCUCUAAUAUCUCACCUUGAAUGG
rfam:Hordeum vulgare subsp. vulgare, WGS project CAJW01000000 data, contig: morex_contig_49104